rnacentral:lncRNA from 1 species
GUUCUUUCCGCCGGGGCAGCCAUCUUCCAGUAACUCGCCAAAACGACGAACACUAAAGGAAAGAGGAGAGGUACUCGGUAUAUGUUCUCUAGACCUUUUAGGAAACAUGGAGUCGUUCCUUUGGCCACAAACAUGCGAAUCUACAAGAAGGGUGAUAUUGUAGACAUCAAGGGAAUGGGCACUGUUCAAAAAGGAAUGCCCCAUAAGUGUUACCACGGCAAAACCGGAAGAGUCUACAAUGUCACCCAGCAUGCCGAGGGCAUCAUUGUAAACAAGCAAGUUAAAGGCAAGAUUCUGGCCAAGAGGAUCAAUGUGCGGAUUGAGCACAUCAAGC